AGCACCGACGCCACGAGAAUCAGGCAAAAAGCGAGUGCGUUGUGCUUGGUAAAGGUCCACAUCAUGACGAGAAGCUACCCUACCAGGACACAAUUAGCAUUCGUUGACGCUUGCGCGUAAAUUUCACAUGCCAACUGCAUCUAUACAUAGAGACGUAGAAGCCUGAAUUACGGUUUGUCGAUGAGUUCAAAAACUAAUAAUCGAGAUUCAAGUCUGGGGUGCGUGUCGCUAGAUGCUGGGGCUAUUAAAUCAAGUUUGAGUGCAACACAAGUUUCAUGCUCGCGUGAUCAAGCUGUCGCGGAUGUCUAGCUAAUGAGGUCGCGGAUGUCUAGCUAAUGAGGUCACACGUGACUCUUACUAACCACGCCCGAUUGACAUGAAAGACAUGAGUCUUUCUGCUGCGUAUCGGUUGGGUCUGUGGCUGCUUGUGUGGGUCAGCUACUUUGUAAUUCUGUAAACUUUGCACAACAAGAAAUAAUCUCAUACUCUAAACUCUGCGCGCGACAAUCUGCAUAUUAUCCCGGACAAGAGCGUAAUGUUUCAUAAAGUAGACGUGUACAGGAUAUAUUGUAUAUCACUUUUGUUUUUUGCUGGUAUGUAAAUAGUAGGGUGCGCGUUGUAUCAUAGAGGCUAGAAGAAUACGCACCCCAUUUAGCUUGUGCUGGUGGUUUUGCCUUCUUUACACUCUAUGUAGUGCUGUGUGUGGAUAGUAUAUAGAGUGCCGAUUCUGAACUAGUUUCCAGAAGAGGCAACCGACUGGCUCAGAAGUAGUCCAGAACCGGCAGACUGUAGACAGGGUUUUAUGAACCCUUUCCCUUUUCUGGGUCUGAUUACUUUCCAUAAGAGGCACUAGCUGGCAUGCCAGUUCUGAAAAGUUGUCUAAGACCAAACUUAUGUACUACUUGUGUGUUGCUUAUUGUAGGAUUCGUACUUCUCGGUGAGACUGUACGCUCUGGAAGCAUCUCGAAUUCGUCGGGAUGUUGUACUGAAUACACAGGUACCAUAGUGUGACCACAGCAAAAUUGUGUUCAUGUACUCGACAACUAGUUGUCUUUUUGAUGAGCAAGCUAUUUACGGACGAGUGCAGUCAUUUGAAAGAUCUGACGCAUGUGCAUUCGUUUGCUUAUGAUUUCAUCUUUGCCAGAUUCACAAUUUGCUAUCGACUCAACCAGGGGUGCAGUCUUUGCUUCCGAGCGGAUAUUCUCUGAUGGAUUUCCUCGACGACUUCAAUACACUCUGUGUGAACUCGCCGAGCUGCAUCAGGAAUUGUCUCUUGACCGAUGACAUUGCCAUGUCUAUUCCGGUAACAGCAAGUCCUGAUGACUUGUUUCGGUAUCUUCUUGUCAAUUCGACUGCUUAUGGUUUGAAGACUCUGGAGACAAAUAUCAAUCUGUUUUCUGUGGCAGCGUCUCCAUGCGAGCCUGUGUGGACAAUGGCUGCUGGAGAUAAACUUGUCUUGAUGAAAGCAAGUGAUGAGGUUUCGCUCAGUAAGAAGAAAGGAGUGCAAUCUAGAUUUUUUCCGUCAGACAUGGAGUUUCAUUCAUAUUUGCUGAUUUGCCAGAAGAGCAAAGGUCUCGAAAUGGUGAGUCUUGACUCGACCGAAUUGCAAGGCAGCAGCUACGAGAUGCAUUUACGUUUCUACCUGGUGUUAAUCAGUCGGCAUCACAUAUUCCCCAGACUUACUUUGACAUCUCCUCGAGGAUGGAGACAGUCUAUUGUCAAGUUCAUUCGAAGCAGUUCACUCAGUCGAAAGGAAGAGACAAGAUCAACGAGCAGUUUCCCUUCUGGCAGGUCUCCUAAGACUGCGAAUAAUCUUGUUGAUGGUGCUGACAAUGAGGAUGAAGAGGAGAAUGACGAGGAUGAGGAUUUGUUUACCAGACAUUUAACUAUUUCUCCUGCUCCAGUUUUGGAUCCUGCUGCUAUUAAAGAGCAAGUGAAUGCAGCAAAGCAGCUACUUGGGGAUGCAAUUCGUUCAGCUACCAGGCAGUUUCGUCGUGAUUCAUUGUGAAAACAUUUGUUGUUUGGUUACGCUGAUCCGGGAUCGGUCAAGAAGGACCAAACUUCUUCGCGCGGGAGUUCCCAAGACAAAGCAGUAGCCAGAUAGAUGAAACUGUGAUCACUCGAUUAACUUUUGAAGAGUUUGAUGAGCUGCUGUGCCUGGUCUCUCCCGUCUGUUUAGACUCCAUGGAUAAGAGGCUUGCUCCAUUUCUUCAGAUGAACAGAGAAUGAUAUCACGGUUUAGUGAGCGGCUUAACUGUUCGGUUUGGUGAACAAGUGCGUACUUUCAAAAAACCAGAUGGCACAAUAUUUCAUUUGAUUGUAUUUAGUCCAGAAUUUCAUGAUGCUUUUGUUUUACUAACUCUACAUGCUACCGGAUCUCGAAACAAGGCAGAGUUCACUGUUGUGUACAAGAAGACAUCAGAUCAGUCUUCUCAGUCGGCACAAGAUGUCGAGACAGUUUCUGAUCAAGAACUGGCAUGUCGGGCGUUGAUCGAGAAUGUUGUCAACUUUACGUGUUAUUACGUGUGGACUCUACUGACUAAGUGACAGUGACAUAUUUGGUUGUAAAUUGAAUGAUCUUGAGCAAGUUGCAGCAGCUCUCUCUAGGACUCUCUGCUACAUUUUCUGUCGAAUGACAAAAGGAUAUUUUUGUUUUGUACAUAGAUUACACCAGGCUGUUGGUGUUGGUAAGCAAUUUUGUAUACAAGCAAAUGGAGAUGACAUUGUGUUUGAGACCGUCAGUAGAGAA